ensembl:lncRNA
AAUAAAACCAACACUCCACCUAUUUAACAACUCAAUCUUGGCUGAGCAAGAUGAUGACACAGACCUCUCAAAAUGCAUCAAGAGGAGAAUACUGGAGUACCUAAAUGAAAAGUAUGGUGACUCACCAACACAAGAGUUGCUUGACAUGGCCACUGUCCUGGACCCAAGGUUCAAACUGAGAUAUGUAAGCGAGGUCAGCCAAGAGACAAUAAAAGCCAGACUGACAAUGGAAAUGAAGUCCAUCAUGGAGGCUGCAGUGAUGGGGACACCCGUUGGUAACACGGAGGUUGCUGAUGAUGGUGCAUCAAACCAAAAGAAGAGGGAAAAGGGCCUAAGCAGCUUCUUUAAGGCCCCUCACAGCACAGCUCCAGGUGCAGAACAUGCUCUUCAACUUGUCCAGGCCAUAGCUUUUGAGUAUCAGGCCUACCUCCAGGCAGGGACCCUGGACACAGAGGAAGACCCACUGGGGUGGUGGAAGCUAUCACAGAACCUCUUCCCACGACUCUCCAUCCUGGCAAAGAAAUAUCUUUGCAUCCCAGCCACAAAUGCCUCAACAGAAAGGGUCUUUAGUACUGGUGGAAAUGUUGUCAACUGCCUGCGUGCAUCCCUGAAGCCUGAUCAUGUCAAUAGGCUGGUGAUUUUGGCUAAAAACCUUUGAAAGGUUGCAGGAACCAUGUUUUGUUGAGCCAUUUUGAGAUUGUAUGGGACUCGGGCCUACUAGUUUUUAUUUAUUUCUUAUAAAAGGUACUACUUUCAGUGUUUAAUUUUAUUUUUGUUCAGGCAGCAACUUUAGUUGACAUACCUCAAUGUCAGUUUGAUGCAAUUGUGCAUUGUGUGGCUACACAGCUUGCCUUGAUGUUUGGUUAUUUGUAUGCAUAAAUAUUAUGCAGUAGUUUGAAGUUCACUAAACAUUAAUGUUUACAUUUUUUAUUUAUUUUUUAUAUUGCAAACAUUUGCACGGUUAUCAGAAUUUGCACAUUAUUUUAUGACAAUCUUUAAAGCUGGCAAUGCAUUGUUAUUGUUAAAUAAAUAUCGUGAAAUAAUCGUGAUCUCAAUUUCAUUGAAAAUAAUCGUGAUUAUCAUUUUUGCCAUAAUCGAGCAGCCCUAACCAUCACCAUCCAUAAGGUCAGUCUUCUGAAAACUGGCGAUAACCCUCACUUUAUCCUGAUCAACCGAGACACCACCAGCAUCCACGACAUGACCCAAAACACAGCAGUAAUCAUUCCGAUUCAACUCAGGGCGGCAACGAAGUGACACCUUGACCACAUCUCUGGCUUUGCCAGUAAGUCUAGACAUUAAUAUG